rnacentral:rRNA from 1 species
CGGUUGAUCCUGCCGGAGGCCACUGCUAUUGGAAUACGACUAAGCCAUGCGAGUCAAGGGGCUCUUCGGAGCACCGGCGUACGGCUCAGUAACAUGUGGGUAACCUACCCUCAGGUGGGAGAUAACCUCGGGAAACUGAGGCUAAUAUCCCAUAGAUAAAAGAUACUGGAAUGUUUUUUUAUCGAAAACUCUUGUGCCUGAGGAUGGGCCUGCAUCCGAUUAGGUUGUUGGUGAGGUAAUGGCUCACCAAGCCUACGAUGGGUACGGGUCGUGAGAGCGAUAGCCCGGAGAUGGGGACUGAGACAAGGCCCCAGGCCCUACGGGGCGCAGCAGGCGCGAAAUCUCUCCAAUGUGUGAAAACAUGAGAGGGGUAUUCCAAGUGCCCUUGUUAUGCAAGGGAUUUUCUUUGGUCCAAGACGCCGAAGGAAUAAGAGCUGGGUAAGACCGGUGCCAGCCGCCGCGGUAACACCGGCAGCUCGAGUGGUGGCCACUAUUAUUGGGCCUAAAGCGUUCGUAGCCGGGCAGGUAAGUGCUCUGGUAAAUCCCAUAACUUAAUUAUGGGGCUUCAGAACAUACUGCCUGCCUUGAGACCGGGAGAGGCUGGAGGUACUUUCGGGGUAGGGGUAAAAU